rnacentral:tRNA from 1 species
GCCUGGUUGGCUCAGUCGGUUAAGCAUCUGACUUAGGCUCAGGUCAUGAUCUCGCUGUCUGUGACUUCAAGCCUUGCACUGGGCU